GAUGAACGCUAGCGGCAGGCCUAAUACAUGCAAGUCGAACGAGAUUAAGAGGCUUGCUUCUUAUGAAAGUGGCGCACGGGUGCGUAAAGCGUAUGCAACCUCCCUCAAUCAGGGGGAUAGAACGAAGAAAUUCGGAUUCAGACAGCAUAAAAACACAGGAUAGCAUUAUCCAAUGUUCAAAUAUUUAUAGGAUUAAGAUGGGCAUGCGUGUCAUUAGCUAGGUGGCUGGGUAACGGCCUAACAAGGCGAUGAUGACUAGGGGAUCUGAGGGGAUGACCCCCCGAGCUGGUACUGGGACACGGACCAGACGCCUACGGGAGGAAGCAGUAAGGAGUAGUAGUCGAUGGAGGGAACUCUGAACCAGCCAAGCCGCGUGCAGGAAGACAGCCCUCUGGGUCGUAAACUGCUUUUAUUCAAGAAUAAUCCUUUCGACGUGUAGGAAGCUGAAUGUACCGAAGUAAUAAGGAACGGCUAACUCCGUG
rnacentral:rRNA from 1 species